ensembl:lncRNA
UGAGUGUGUGUGUGUGUGUGUGUUUCCUCGAAUGUUCAUUUGGUGGCGCUGUGGCUCCUGUUUGGCCACUUUGAUUGAAAGACUGCGAAUGGAGAAAAACGCAGAACUUAAUCCAUUGGCAUCAGAUCCUGGACACCGCUGAACAGCUGAUCUGCCGUUAGCUGCGUAAAUUUCCCUCACGGUGAGCAGCUCCCAGAGCCCAGCUGAAUUAAUCACAGCCACACGGACGCGGGGGAGGGGUGGGGGGCAGCCUGAGGAUGAGGACGGAGAGAAGGGUAGAAGAACCCGUGCUGUGAGAAGAGGUCAGAGCUGGAACAUCCAUGGAGUGAAAGGGAUUCUGACAUUUCCCCCACCACAUUCAAAGCCACCAAGCUCUACAGUAGUAGAAAACUUCAGACCUGUCUCUCCUCUCCGUUUCUUGGCAAAAACACUUGAGGGAGUGGUUUUCAAUCAGGUGACUUUUUUCCUCUCGCAGAAGUACCUGCUAGGUCGCAAUCAGUCAGGCUUCAGAAGCGGACAUUUAACGGAGGCCGCCUCGCUAUCCGUCACCAAGGCCUCAUGGCUGGCCAGAGCUGCUCCGGAUCAUCCGUCCUCAUUCCGCUAGACAUGUCUAGAGCCCGAGACAUUAUAAAUCACCAGAUAUUCUUGUCAACCCUCUUGUUACUAUAAUUGCAAUCUGUUGCUUUGGGUCUCAUGUCACAGGUAGAUAUUUCAGGGUAUUUUGAUGAGAAAGUGUUUCUACUGUAAGUUGUGUAGUCUAACCAUCAGCAUUCAGUGAUCGGCUCCCUCCUGCUUUAAAAUCCUGCUUCAAAAACCUUUAAAAAUCUGCCCCAUUAUACACUGUAACUGAGACAAUGAGUGAGGAAUCAAAUGUAUUAUUUUAUGGUGAUCAACAUUAUGCCACAAAUGAUGUUCAUUCGACCUGGUCUAUUUAUUUAUUUUUUCUUUUUCUGAUACAUAGGUAUUCGUAUGUAAUAUUAUUAGGUACAAAUGUCUUUGUAUUUAGGUAGAUGCUAAAAUGUAUAAUAAUUAGG